rnacentral:rRNA from 4 species
AUGAGUUAAGUAUAAACCCCUUUACAAGUAUCAAUUGGAGGGCAAGUCUGGUGCCAGCAGCCGCGGUAAUUCCAGCUCCAAUAGCGUAUAUUAAAGUUGUUGCAGUUAAAAAGCUCGUAGUUGGAUUUCUGUUAAUAAUUUAUAUAAUAUUUUAACGAUAUUAUGUAAUAUUAACAUAAUUCAUAUUACUAUAUUAUUUUAGUAUAUGAAAUUUUACUUUGAGAAAAUUAGAGUGCUUAAAGCAGGCAUUUGCCUUGAAUACUCCAGCAUGGAAUAAUAUAAAAGAUUUUUAUCUUUUUUAUUGGUUCUAAGAUAAAAAUAAUGAUUAAUAGGGACAGUUGGGGGCAUUUGUAUUUAACAGUCAGAGGUGAAAUUCUUAGAUUUGUUAAAGACAAACUAGUGCGAAAGCAUUUGCCAAGGAUGUUUUCAUUAAUCAAGAACGAAAGUUAGGGGAUCGAAGACGAUCAGAUACCGUCGUAGU